GGAACAGACAAAGACAUACAUACAAACAUAGACAUUAAGUUGCAUGCACAAACUCAAAUAUACGACUGCACGCAUACAGCACUUAGAACAAACAUACUGCUUUCUGUAGGUUUUCAAAGUAACCAUAUCAAGAAUAUGUACGGAAGUAGAAAACCCCUGUAUUGCCGACCAUCACUUCCUUCAACCAGACACG